rnacentral:rRNA from 1 species
CAGCCGCCGCGGGAAUACGAAGGGGGCUAGCGUUGUUCGGAUUUACUGGGCGUAAAGGGCGCGUAGGCGGACUGAUAAGUCAGGGGUGAAAUCCCAAGGCUCAACCUUGGAACUGCCUUUGAUACUGUUUGUCUUGAGUUCGAGAGAGGUAAGUGGAACUGCAAGUGUAGAGGUGAAAUUCGUAGAUAUUCGCAGGAACACCAAUGGCGAAGGCGGCUCACUGGUCCAUUACUGACGCUGAGGUGCGAAAGCGUGGGGAGCAAACAGGAUUAGAGACCCCUGUAGUCCCUGUCUCUUAUAC